CCGUCAAUUCAUUUAAGUUUCAAUCUUGCGACCGUACUCCCCAGGUGGAUUACUUAACGCUUUCGCUUUGACGCUAACCGUAUAUCGCUAACAUCGAGUAAUCAUCGUUUAGGGCGUGGACUACCAGGGUAUCUAAUCCUGUUCGAUCCCCACGCUUUCGUGCCUCAGCGUCAGUUACACUUUAGUGAGCUGCCUUCGCAAUUGGUGUUCUGUGUCAUAUCUAUGCAUUUCACCGCUACUUGACACAUUCCGCCCACUUCAUCUGUACUCCAGCUCAUCAGUAUCAAUGGCAGUGUCCCCGUUAAGCGGUUACCUUUCACCACUGACUUAAUGAGCCGCCUACGCACCCUUUAAACCCAAUAAAUCCGGAUAACGCUCGGAUCCUCCGUAUUACCGCGGC
rnacentral:misc_RNA from 1 species